rnacentral:rRNA from 1 species
AGUGAACGCUGGCGGUAGGCCUAACACAUGCAAGUCGAACGGCAGCACAGUAAGAGCUUGCUCUUACGGGUGGCGAGUGGCGGACGGGUGAGGAAUACAUCGGAAUCUACUUUUUCGUGGGGGAUAACGUAGGUAAACUUACGCUAAUACCGCAUACGACCUACGGGUGAAAGCAGUGGAUCUUCGGACCUUUCGCGAUUGAAUGAGCCGAUGUCGGAUUAGCUAGUUGGCGGGGUAAAGGCCCACCAAGGCGACGAUCCGUAGCUGGUCUGAGAGGAUGAUAAGAGAAACUGGAAGUGAGACACGGUACAGACGACUAAGGGAGGAAGCAGUGGGGAAUAUUGGACAAUGGGCGCAAGCAUGAUCCAGCAAUACCGCGUGGGUGAAGAAGGCCUUCGGGUUGUAAAGCCCUUUUGUUGGGAAAGAAAAGCAGCAGGUUAAAACCCCGCUGUUCUGACGGUACCAAAAGAAUAAGCACCGGCUAACUUCGUG